rnacentral:lncRNA from 1 species
GCUUGUGGACAUCUGUCCUUCCCAUCAGUCAUCGUGUUUCCCCACGCUCCUUUUCCUUCCUACGUGUUUCCAGUCACUUCCUUUCUGUGAAAGGUUGGAGGUGUGCAGAAGGCUCUCUAGCCCCUCUGAGUAGAGCUUGAGCUAACUGGAAGUGCUCAGUCUGGAUCAUCAUUUUCACGGUAUUUUCAAAGGAGAGUUAAACACUGUGCUUAUUGGGAAAUCUCUGUUGGUUGGUGGUUGCUUCAAUAGGUAGCCAAACAAGUUGAUUGCUUUUUG